rnacentral:rRNA from 1 species
GAUGAACGCUGACGGCGUGCCUAAUACAUGCAAGUCGAGCGAACGGACGAGAAGCUUGCUUCUCUGAUGUUAGCGGCGGACGGGUGAGUAACACGUGGAUAACCUACCUAUAAGACUGGGAUAACUUCGGGAAACCGGAGCUAAUACCGGAUAAUAUUUUGAACCGCAUGGUUCAAAAGUGAAGGACGGUCUUGCUGUCACUUAUAGAUGGAUCCGCGCUGCAUUAGCUAGUUGGUAAGGUAACGGCUUACCAAGGCAACGAUGCAUAGCCGACCUGAGAGGGUGAUCGGCCACACUGGAACUGAGACACGGACCAGACUCCUACGGGAGGCAGCAGUAGGGAAUCUUCCGCAAUGGGCGAAAGCCUGACGGAGCAACGCCGCGUGAGUGAUGAAGGUCUUCGGAUCGUAAAACUCUGUUAUUAGGGAAGAACAUAUGUGUAAGUAACUGUGCACAUCUUGACGGUACCUAAUCAGAAAGCCACGGCUAACUACGUG